UAGGGAAUCUUCGGCAAUGGGGGGAACCCUGACCGAGCAACGCCGCGUGCGUGAAGAAGGUUUUCGGAUCGUAAAGCUCUGUUGUUAAGGAAGAACGAGUGUGAGAAUGGAAAGUUCAUACUGUGACGGUACUUAACCAGAAAGGUACGGCUAACUACGUGCCAGCAGCCGCGGUAAUACGUAGGUCCCGAGCGUUGUCCGGACUUAUUGGGCGUAAAGCGAGCGCAGGCGGUUAGAUAAGUCUGAAGUUAAAGGCAGUGGCUCAACCAUUGUAGGCUUUGGAAACUGAUUAACGUGAGUGCAGAAGGGGAGAGAGGAAUUCCAUGUGUAGCGGGGAAAUGCGUGGAUAUAGGGAGGAACACCGGUGGCGAAAGCGGCUAUCUGGUCUGUAACUGACGCUGAGGCUCGAAAGCGUGGGGAGCGAACAGG
rnacentral:rRNA from 1 species